rnacentral:rRNA from 1 species
UACGAAGGGGGCUAGCGUUGCUCGGAAUCACUGGGCGUAAAGGGUGCGUAGGCGGGUCUUUAAGUCAGGGGUGAAAUCCUGGAGCUCAACUCCAGAACUGCCUUUGAUACUGAAGAUCUUGAGUUCGGGAGAGGUGAGUGGAACUGCGAGUGUAGAGGUGAAAUUCGUAGAUAUUCGCAAGAACACCAGUGGCAGAAGGCG